rnacentral:pre_miRNA from 1 species
AUAGUAAUCAUCUGAGGAUCUUGUUAAAAUGCAGAUUCUGAUCCAGUAGGUUGAAGAUUCUGCAUAUCUGACAAGCUAUUAGGUGAUGCUCCU